AUGGCGCAGGACACGAUUCUGUUGCUCGACCAAGCUCAGGAAGAUAGGCAGCUCGAGCUGGACGAGCUAACCCUACGCAAAGAGCUCAAGUCCCGCAUUCUUGGUCUCGCAGUCAUCGAGCGCAUCAAGGCCAGGCAGCGCGCCAGAGUCAGGGAAGUUCGAGUGGGUGAUGCCAACACCAAGUAUUUUCACAUAAAAGCUAAUGGCCGCCGAAGGAAAAACUUCAUUGGCUCAUUGGCUUCGGGCAGCGUUUUGACCACUGAGCAGCGCCACAAAGAGCAGAUCGCGACCGAGUUCUUCGACCGCUUGCUCGGGGACCCAGGCUCGGUGUCAACAGGGUUCAACUGGGAUGCGCUGGGCCUUUCUAGGGCCAAUCUCGAUGACCUAGAGGUUGCGUUCACCCGGGAGGAAAUCGCAGCGGCCAUUGCGGACCUGCCGCCGGAUCGGGCCCCGGGCCCGGACGGUUUUUCAGGGGCUUUCUACAAGGCGGCGGCGGAAAUCAUUUUAGAUGACCUGGUGCUCGCAUUCCAGCAGCUGCACUGCAUGAACCGGACAGGCCUGCACCUGCUCAAUGGGGCGCACGUCAUGCUCUUGGCCAAGAAAGAUGGGGCUUCGAGCAUGGCGGACUACAGGCCCAUCAGCCUGCUGCACAGCAUGGCGAAGCUCUUCAGCAAGGUGCUUGCAUUGAGGCUUGCCAAGCGGAUCGACACGCUCAUCUCGCCGACACAG
rnacentral:rRNA from 1 species